rnacentral:rRNA from 1 species
GCUCAUGGAUCGAUGAAGACCGCAGCUAAACGCGCGU